UGGGGAAUAUUGCACAAUGGGGGAAACCCUGAUGCAGCGACGCCGCGUGAACGAAGAAGGUAUUCGUAUCGUAAAGUUCUGUCCUAUGGGAAGAUAAUGACAGUACCAUAGAAGAAAGCUCCGGCUAAAUACGUGCCAGCAGCCGCGGUAAUACGUAUGGAGCGAGCGUUGUCCGGUAUUAUUGGGCGUAAAGGGUACGCAGGCGGUUUAAUAAGUCGAAUGUUAAAGAUCGGGGCUCAACCCCGCAAAGCAUUGGAAACUGAUGAACUUGAGUAGUGGAGAGGAAAGUGGAAUUCCUAGUGUAGUGGUGAAAUACGUAGAUAUUAGGAGGAAUACCAGUAGCGAAGGCGACUUUCUGGACACAAACUGACGCUGAGGUACGAAAGCGUGGGGAGCAAACAGG
rnacentral:rRNA from 1 species